ensembl:ncRNA lncRNA:CR45688 long non-coding RNA:CR45688
AGGCUUUAUGUAAAUUUUACUAGUAAGGGAAACAAGUUUAAUUACACUCCAUCUCUGGGGAGGAGGACGAGCAACCCCCAAGUGCAGUUGAGUUGACCCGGACAACACUUGAUUCGCUGUCUUGGGUUGUUGAUGUUGUUUCGCUUUAAAAAGUUAUAAAAAUAAGUCGACGGAGAGUGGCAGCAGCAACCCUCGGAGUUCAUUCUGCACCCUUUGAUUUUGGCCAGGAUCGGGAAUCGGGGAUCGGGGCAGGACCAGCAUCAUCCCCUGUUUUCCCGCCCGUUCUCUCGUUCGUUGCCAGGGGCUAAUGAGCGCCGCACAUUAGUUUUAACAACAUUUAUUAUUUAUGGGUUUUUCCCUCCUCCUGUCCCGCUCACCCUCAAUGCAUCCGCAUGCCGCCUCUCUCUCUCACUCUUUCACAGAAUUCUUACUUUUGGACGUUACAUUUUCACUUGCCUGCAUAGUGACGCAGUUUCCAAAAUGAACUCUUGGAAAUGGGAAUUUGAAAUUACUACGAACGCGGCAAGUUUAAUUGGAAUUUCGAAUCCGGAGCGGCUCGUUAACAACUUGAGUCAGGAUCUGGGGGUACUC